UACGUAGGGUGCGAGCGUUGUCCGGAAUUAUUGGGCGUAAAGGGCUCGUAGGCGGUUUGUCGCGUCGGGAGUGAAAACUCAGGGCUUAACCCUGAGCCUGCUUCCGAUACGGGCAGACUGAGGUAUGCAGGGGAGAACGGAAUUCCUGGUGUAGCGGUGAAAUGCGCAGAUAUCAGGAGGAACACCGGUGGCGAAGGCGGUCGCUGGCGGCGAUACCUGACGCUGAGGAGCGAAAGCGGUGGAGAAACAGG
rnacentral:rRNA from 1 species